rnacentral:rRNA from 1 species
AGCCUGAAUCAGUGUGUGUGUUAGUGGAAGCGUCUGGAAAGGCGCGCGAUACAGGGUGACAGCCCCGUACACAAAAAUGCACAUAUUGUGAGCUCGAUGAGUAGGGCGGGACACGUGGUAUCCUGUCUGAAUAUGGGGGGACCAUCCUCCAAGGCUAAAUACUCCUGACUGACCGAUAGUGAACCAGUACCGUGAGGGAAAGGCGAAAAGAACCCCGGCGAGGGGAGUGAAAAAGAACCUGAAACCGUGUACGUACAAGCAGUGGGAGCCUCUUAAUGGGGUGACUGCGUACCUUUUGUAUAAUGGGUCAGCGACUUAUAUUCUGUAGCAAGGUUAACCGAAUAGGGGAGCCGAAGGGAAACCGAGUCUUAACUGGGCGUUAAGUUGCAGGGUAUAGACCCGAAACCCGGUGAUCUAGCCAUGGGCAGGUUGAAGGUUGGGUAACACUAACUGGAGGACCGAACCGACUAAUGUUGAAAAAUUAGCGGAUGACUUGUGGCUGGGGGUGAAAGGCCAAUCAAACCGGGAGAUAGCUGGUUCUCCCCGAAAGCUAUUUAGGUAGCGCCUCGUGAAUUCAUCUCCGGGGGUAGAGCACUGUUUCGGCAAGGGGGUCAUCCCGACUUACCAACCCGAUGCAAACUGCGAAUACCGGAGAAUGUUAUCACGGGAGACACACGGCGGGUGCUAACGUCCGUCGUGAAGAGGGAAACAACCCAGACCGCCAGCUAAGGUCCCAAAGUCAUGGUUAAGUGGGAAACGAUGUGGGAAGGCCCAGACAGCCAGGAUGUUGGCUUAGAAGCAGCCAUCAUUUAAAGAAAGCGUAAUAGCUCACUGGUCGAGUCGGCCUGCGCGGAAGAUGUAACGGGGCUAAACCAUG